UACAGAGGGGGCAAGCGUUGUUCGGAAUUACUGGGCGUAAAGGGCGCGUAGGCGGCCAACUAAGUCGAACGUGAAAUCCCCUGGCUCAACCAGGGAACUGCGUCCGAUACUGGAUGGCUCGAAUCCGGGAGAGGGAUGUGGAAUUCCAGGUGUAGCGGUGAAAUGCGUAGAUAUCUGGAGGAACACCGGUGGCGAAGGCGGCAUCCUGGACCGGUAUUGACGCUGAGGCGCGAAAGCCAGGGGAGCAAACGGG
rnacentral:rRNA from 1 species